GCACGCAUAGCUCAGUUGGUAGAGCGGUCGUCUUAUACACGACUGGUCCUAGGUUCGAGUCCUAGUGCGUGCA
rnacentral:tRNA from 1 species